UCGAGAAUCUUUCACAAUGGGGGCAACCCUGAUGGAGCGACGCCGCGUGGAGGAUAAGGUCUUCGGAUUGUAAACUCCUGUCAUGCGCGAACAAGGUUGCAGGGAUAAUACCUUUGCAAAUUGAUGGUAGCGCAAGAGGAAGAGACGGCUAACUCUGUGCCAGCAGCCGCGGUAAUACAGAGGUCUCAAGCGUUGUUCGGAAUCACUGGGCGUAAAGGGUGCGUAGGUGGCAUGGUAAGUCAGAUGUGAAAGCCUGGGGCUCAACCUCAGAAUUGCAUCCGAUACUGCUGUGCUAGAGUACUGGAGGGGUGACUAGAAUUCUCGGUGUAGCAGUGAAAUGCGUAGAUAUCGAGAGGAAUACCAAAGGCGUAGGCAGGUCACUGGACAGUUACUGACACUGAGGCACGAAGGCCAGGGGAGCAAACG
rnacentral:rRNA from 1 species